GGGAAUUCAGCAGGAAAGAAGUCUGACACACUGGCUGCCCUUUAGUGAAGGAGGCAUUUUAAGUAAACAAUGACAGUGUGAUGUCAUAAGUGCCACAGUGGUGGAGCACAGCAUAAGGCCACUGGGCACCGCAGCCUGAGGGAAUAAUACCUGAACAGAGAGAGAAGCAGUAAAUGAACCCUGUGGCAGGGGAACCACUCAUGGCUAUUAAGGACAGAUGCCUCCAGAAUAUGAGUACAAGGAUAUGAAUACAGCACUGUUUAUAACAGAGAAAAUAUAGAAAUCUGCUACGUGCCUCUUAGGGAGAUGGUCAUUAAAGGAGCUCUGAAUAACCAUACAAUGGAAUGAUAUGUGUAGCUGCUCAUCAACAGACCGCCUAACCCAGAAAUUAAAUCUGUUGACAAAUUUGCCUGUAUUGUCU
rnacentral:lncRNA from 1 species